GGCGAACGGGUGAGUAAUGCAUCGGAACGUGCCCAGUAGUGGGGGAUAGCCCGGCGAAAGCCGGAUUAAUACCGCAUACGACCUAUGGGUGAAAGCGGGGGACCGUAAGGCCUCGCGCUAUUGGAGCGGCCGAUGUCAGAUUAGCUAGUUGGUGGGGUAAAGGCCUACCAAGGCGACGAUCUGUAGCUGGUCUGAGAGGACGACCAGCCACACUGGGACUGAGACACGGCCCAGACUCCUACGGGAGGCAGCAGUGGGGAAUUUUGGACAAUGGGCGCAAGCCUGAUCCAGCCAUGCCGCGUGCGGGAAGAAGGCCUUCGGGUUGUAAACCGCUUUUGUCAGGGAAGAAACGCUCUGGGCUAAUACCCUGGGGUAAUGACGGUACCUGAAGAAUAAGCACCGGCUAACUACGUGCCAGCAGCCGCGGUAAUACGUAGGGUGCAAGCGUUAAUCGGAAUUACUGGGCGUAAAGCGUGCGCAGGCGGUUAUGCAAGACAGAUGUGAAAUCCCCGGGCUCAACCUGGGAACUGCAUUUGUGACUGCAUAGCUGGAGUACGGUAGAGGGGGAUGGAAUUCC
rnacentral:rRNA from 1 species